rnacentral:miRNA from 1 species
ACCAGCCGGCAAUACGGCUAUCAGCCGGGCGUGUCUGUAGUAUACUAUAGUAUACUACAGACACGCCCGGCUGAUAGCCGUAUUGCCGGCUGGUAGUC